GCGGGUAGAGCUCAGUGGUAGAGCGCACACUCAGUAUGCAUGAGGUCCUGGGUUCAAUCCCCAGUACCUUCA
rfam:Camelus ferus unplaced genomic scaffold scaffold1726, whole genome shotgun sequence.